GACAGAGGGUGCGAACGUUGUUCGGAAUUACUGGACGUAAAGCGCGUGUAGGCGGCAGCGCAAGUCGGGCGUGAAAUCCCACGGCUCAACCGUGGAAGUGCACUCGAAACUGCGCAGCUAGAGUCCUGGAGAGGAAGGUGGAAUGCUUGGUGUAGAGGUGAAAUUCGUAGAUAUCAAGCGGAACACCGGUGGCGAAGGCGGCCUUCUGGACAGUGACUGACGCUGAGACGCGAAAGCGUGGGGAGCGAACAGG
rnacentral:rRNA from 1 species